GAUGAACGCUGGCGGCGUGCCUAAUACAUGCAAGUCGAGCGAACAGACGAGGAGCUUGCUCCUCUGACGUUAGCGGCGGACGGGUGAGUAACACGUGGAUAACCUACCUAUAAGACUGGGAUAACUUCGGGAAACCGGAGCUAAUACCGGAUCAUAUAUUGAACCGCAUGGUUCAAUAGUGAAAGACGGUUUUGCUGUCACUUAUAGAUGGAUCCGCGCCGAAUUAGCUAGUUGGUAAGGUAACGGCUUACCAAGGCAACGAUGCGUAGACGACCUGAGAGGGUGAUCGGCCACACUGGAACUGAGACACGGUCCAGACUCCUACGGGAGGCAGCAGUAGGGAAUCUUCCGCAAUGGGCGAAAGCCUGACGGAGCAACGCCGCGUGAGUGAUGAAGGUCUUCGGAUCGUAAAACUCUGUUAUUAGGGAAGAACAAAUGUGUAAGUAACUAUGCACGUCUUGACGGUACCUAAUCAGAAAGCCACGGCUAACUACGUG
rnacentral:rRNA from 1 species